AUUUCAGGUGUAUGAAGAAUUCAAUCGAGUGGUUGGGAAGAACCUUGAACAAGAAUUCUGUCCUUCGUCACUGUCCACAGCUGAUUCAGAUCAGAUUUUGAGCAAUCUUCUGCAACAAACCAAGACCUGUGACCUCGCUGACAUGUGAUGUGUUGCAAUGAGAGGGCUUCCAGUUGUAUGCUUUGCUUCUGAUGAUGGAGACACAUACCAACAUGUGCCAGUUGGAAACUCUUUGAAAACUGAUUUUGAUAAGUGAAUUCAAAU